rfam:Mycoplasmataceae bacterium CE_OT135 Contig_20, whole genome shotgun sequence.
GGAACUGUCGCCAAGUGGAUUAAGGCCGCAGUCUGCAAAACUGCUAUUUCGUUGGUUCGAAUCCAACCAGUUCCU